rnacentral:rRNA from 1 species
AUAGCCACUAGAAAUGGUGGGUAAUACUGUAUAAUCCCUGCGGGGGAAAGAUUUAUCGCUAUUAGAUGAGCCUAUGUUAGAUUAGCUAGUUGGUAGGGUAAAGGCCUACCAAGGCGAUGAUCUAUAGCUGGUCUGAGAGGAUGAUCAGCCACACUGGAACUGAGAUACGGUCCAGACUCCUACGGGAGGCAGCAGUGGGGAAUAUUGGACAAUGGGCGCAAGCCUGAUCCAGCUAUGCCGCGUGAGUGAGGAAGGCCUUAGGGUUGUAAAACUCUUUCAGUAGGGGAAGAUAAUGACGGUACCUACAGAAG